CAAUAGCGUAUAUUAAAGUUGUUGCGGUUAAAAAGCUCGUAGUUGGAUUUCUGCUGAGGACGAUCGGUCCGCCCACUGGGUGAGUAUCUGGCUCGGCCUUGGCAUCUUCUUGGAGAACGUUGCUGCACUUGACUGUGUGGUGCGGUAUCCAGGACUUUUACUUUGAGGAAAUUAGAGUGUUUCAAGCAGGCGCACGCCUUGAAUACAUUAGCAUGGAAUAAUAAGAUAGGACCUUGGUUCUAUUUUGUUGGUUUCUAGAGCUGAGGUAAUGAUUAAUAGGGAUAGUUGGGGGCAUUCGUAUUUAACUGUCAGAGGCGAAAUUCUUGGAUUUGUUAAAGACGGACUACUGCGAAAGCAUUUGCCAAGGAUGUUUUCAUUGA
rnacentral:rRNA from 1 species